GUUUCUGGUGCUUGAGAAUGUGUCUGCCUUGGCUGAUAUUUCUGUUCUGGUUGUAGUUUCAGUUGGCUUCCAAAUGUCCCUCAGCUCAGUGACAGUGAGGAGAGUGAUGACAACCAGGUUCUUGAACAGCCACCUUCUGCACUUGCUCCUCCAAGAUACAGCGUGCUCCUGGACGACCUGCAGCUCAGUGACAGUGAGGAGAGUGAUGACAACCAAGUCAGUUUGGGAUAUUGGACACACCAGGCACACAGACGUGCCUUGGAAUCAUCUCACCUUGUUGCAUUGUUCUGAGUUCCUUGAGCUAACCUUUCCUUCCCCUCUUCUCUUUCUUUUUGUGACCAAAACAGGUUGUUGA
rnacentral:lncRNA from 1 species